CCUUCUUGACAAGCCACAACCACAGAGCUUCGAAAGCGCAAACAGGAAGAGAACCAACUGGGACUAUAAAGCAAAUUUCUUCUCUUCUCCCUCACAGGCAGAAGCAUUAUGGCAAUGGUUCCCCAAGAUCUGAGCACUGUUGUUGUUCACUGUGCUCUCGAGCUUCGCCAAGCUGGAGACGAGCUCUACUGGAGAUACAAGCUGCUUGAAAUACUGAUCAGGAACUACAAGACUGUGGCUAAGAUCAGAUGAGACAUGGAGUCGGUGGACGUCAACGUGAAUCGGAUAUUGCUCGACUCAAAUUCUAUCCGGAGAAACUUCUCGGAUACAAAAUAACCCCUGGUGGCAAAAUGGUGGCCCUUAAGUGGGAUGUACAUACGCUUGUGGACACGCCCCUACCGGCUUGCCGUUCGGUUGAACCGUGUCCUGUACAGGAGCUGAGCCCAGCUGUGUGGAAUGCUGCUGAACCACUGGCACUCACACAUUCAGCCUGGACGAGGGAGGUACUGCUAGAUGCAAGUUAACCAAUGCAGAUUGUCACAUGUCCUCUGUACACGUGACAUAUGUACAUGUAUAUUGCGUCUCUCAUGCAUGUCAUGCACUCUGACACUGUCACAUUUUGUUCACUGUGACUUGAGCAUGUAUUUUCGAUGUUGAUCUUAUGGGAAGUGUAUCAUGAGGUUCUAAUAAAUAUAUAAAAAUAG